CCUACGGGUGGCAGCAGUGGAGAAUAUUGGACAAUGGGCGAAAGCCUGAUCCAGCCAUGCCGCGUGUGUGAAGAAGGCCUUCGGGUUGUAAAGCACUUUCAGUGGGGAAGAAAGCCUUGGGGCUAAUACCCUCGAGGAAGGACAUCACCCACAGAAGAAGCACCGGCUAACUCCGUGCCAGCAGCCGCGGUAAUACGGAGGGUGCGAGCGUUAAUCGGAAUUACUGGGCGUAAAGCGCGCGUAGGCGGUCUGAUAAGCCGGUUGUGAAAGCCCCGGGCUCAACCUGGGAACGGCAUCCGGAACUGUCAGGCUAGAGUGCAGGAGAGGAAGGUAGAAUUCCCGGUGUAGCGGUGAAAUGCGUAGAGAUCGGGAGGAAUACCAGUGGCGAAGGCGGCCUUCUGGACUGACACUGACGCUGAGGUGCGAAAGCGUGGGUAGCAAACAGGAUUAGAUACCCCUGUAGUC
rnacentral:rRNA from 1 species